rnacentral:rRNA from 1 species
ACUUCUUUUAUGGAGAGUUUGAUCCUGGCUAAGUAUGAAAGAUGGCGGCGUUCCUAAUACAU